rnacentral:rRNA from 1 species
UACGAAGGGGGCUAGCGUUGUUCGGAAUUACUGGGCGUAAAGCGUGCGUAGGUGGUUUGUUAAGUCUGAUGUGAAAGCCCUGGGCUCAACCUGGGAAUUGCAUUGGAUACUGGCAGGCUAGAGUGCGGUAGAGGAUGGCGGAAUUCCCGGUGUAGCAGUGAAAUGCGUAGAGAUCGGGAGGAACAUCUGUGGCGAAAGCGGCGCACUGGACCACAACUGACGCUGAGGCGCGAAAGCUAGGGGAGCAAACAGA